rnacentral:rRNA from 1 species
UUAAACUAGAAGGAGAUAAAAGUAUUAUUUUCCCGAAGUAGGAUGAUCUAACUAAUAAAAUUGUUUGGAAAAUUUAUAAUUUUAGUGUUGCAACACUAUUAAAGUAUUGUUAGUUAGGGGUGAAAGGCCUUUCAACUCUUAUUGAUAACUGGAUUAAACUAAAAAAUAUUAAGUAUUUUAUCUCAGAUGAAAAAUUCUAAGGUUUUUCAUUAAUAAAAGUAAGUAUGUUGUUUAUUUUCUAAUCUAUUAAUAUAAAUUAGAGUAUUUAAGUUAAACAAUUAAUAUACUUUUGGCUUUAAAGGUAUAGGUUUAUUAGCCCAGAAAUAUUAAAAUGGGUUUAAGUAAUGUUUAAAUAAGUAAUAUUACUAAAAAAUUGUAAGGAACUCGGCAAAUAUUUUCUCAACUGUUUAUCAAAAACAUAGCUAAUUGGUAAACAUAAUUAGUUUAUUCUGCCCAGUGUUAUAGUAUUAACGGCCGCAGUACACUGACUGUGCAAAGGUAGCAUAAUAAAUUGGCUUUUAAAUGGAGUCUGGUAUGAAAGAAUGCAUGGGGGAAAGCCGUCUCACAAUUUUUCUAAUGAAAUUACUAAGAAAGUGAAAAUUCUUUCAAUCUAUUCUGUUAGACGAGAAGACCCUAUAAAUUUUUACUAAAAAACUUUUUGUUUUGUGUUUUUGUUGGGGCAACAAAUUAACAGAUUAUAUAAAUUUAAAUGAUUUUAAUUAAUAUGUUUCGAAUUAUAUUAAGGGCAGACAAAUUACUAUAGGGAUAACAGCAUAAUUUUAUAAAAAAGAUUGUGACCUCGAUGUUGGAUUAGGGACCUAUUAGAUUAAACAUUUAUAUAGGAAGUUCUGUUCGAACUAGCAUACCU